GUCUAUGGUCUAGUUAGAGUCAGAGGCAGGAAGCUCUGCCUUCUACUUUAAGUAUCUGCAGGAAAUAACUGUCUGUGAUCCUCUCAGGGAUGUGUGUUCUGCCGACCCUGCAUUCCACUUGUCUCUUGCACUGGUGCUGCCCGGAUGACUGACUGCACAAACUGCUCCAGAAUGAUCAUUCAUUCAAUCCUUGAUCCCAACUUGGGAAACUCAUAACUCAAGUCAGGCACUGAUCCAGACAUGAAAUGUGGCCUUGCCCAGGACAGUGGCCAUGGAGUCCCAUGAUCAAGUCGCCCAGUGCAGAGACAGAUGUGAGCAGCUCCUAGGAGGCAGAAGAGCAAAGAUGCAGGAGUCUGCCAGCUUAACACACAAGGGAUCUUAUUUGCCCAUGUUUGGAGCCUUCCAGGGCCGACAAGGUGGUGGGGGACUUCCAAGGGGCAGACGCGGAUGACUUUAAAUGACUUGAAUGGGCUCCCUGGAAGGCUGCGGCCCCCCUACACUCGCUGAGGCUUUUCCGCUGGGCGUGGGGAAAAGGCCAGCCUUUGACUAUUUAGGAAAGCAGAAGAAGCCGGAGGGGGAAGCAGCCACAUAGGACAGGCUGUUGUUUUCCACGCUUUAUUGGCGGAAAGGGCUGAGGCCAUCUUAUAUGUCCCCAGAAACUGUCAACAGGAAGACGAACAGGAGCAAAACAGGCGUGCAAGGCGCCUGGAGGCUUGUGGGUCCUGCUAGAGCAGAGGGCUACGCGGAGGCUGUACGUUUCAGGUAGGGGGAGGUUCAUCACAUUGACCUUGAUUUGGCUCCGGGGAAUGGCGGGCCAUGGAAUCCCCGUCCCUUCCAUGUGAUAAUGCCAGGUCAGUGGGCAGGGGACAAACAAAGAGAGGCCAGGACUCCGUCCCUCCCGAAACACACAAGGGGAGAACGGUCCUCUCUUACGGAGCACCCGGCCACAGUUACUGUAAAAUAAAAGGUGUCACCUUCUCAUGAUGAUGGGUUUUCCCAUGGCCUGAAAAAUUAUUUACUUGUGUCUGUAACCAGGGUGAAAAACACCCCCAAAGUUUAGAUCUGUGUCAGCAUUCCCUUCAAGAAUAGCUCAGCUUAGAGCUUUUAUGAAGGGCAAACAACAGAGUUGAAAAACAAAUACAAAUCCACAGCUACAGAAGGAGGAGGGGAGGGAGAGACCUUUCAAACCUGUCUGUUUCACACACAGACAGAAUCUUAGAGGCACCCCUACAGGACUUGGCUGAAGUCAAGAGCAGGCUGAUCAAAGGAAGCUGCAGAAAUUAUAAUCCAUCAAAUUAGACACCUGUGACAAACCCACAGAGAAUGCAAGGAAUGUUUGGGGCGGGCAUUUGGCCCGGUGGUUAUGAGGUUGCUUGGAACGCACGCAGCCCCUGUGUGCGGUGGGUCCCAGCCCUGACGUUACUCCUGAUCCAGCUUCCUGCUAAUGUGUGCCCUGGGAAGCCGCAGUUGGUGGCUCAGGACGCAGACACCUGGAUUGAGUUCUCAGUUCUUGGCUUUGGCCUGACUCAGCCCUGGCUGUUGCAGACAUUUGGAGAGUGAACCAGCAGAUGGAAGAUCUCUCUUGUCUCUUUCUCUGCCUCUCAAAUAAUAAAAAAAAAAAUUUUUUUUAAAGAUUUCAAGGGAUGUCAACAAUAUGAUAAAAGGCCUCAUGGUUAAAGUGUUACCCUUAACUUUUCCCAAAUCCAUCACAAAUUCUCCCACUUGAGCCACUUUUUCAGACCUGGUGGCCCUGGGCACAGUUAGAGUUCUUGGUGCUAGGUUUCUUUUCUGCUAUAAUGAUGUUAAGAGAUACUUUUUUCUCCAAGCACAAUUAAUGAGAAUUUUUAUGACCCUAGGAAAAAGAAUUUAAAAAACAAACACUCAAACAAGGACUUGGGGUAGAAGACAGAGAUCUGUGAUGGUUAACAAAAUAACUGAUCUGUGGAGUAAAAGCCAUUCACAUAAA